CGAAGAGAACGUUUCCCGGGGGUGCACUGAAUACCGCGAUUCGACAUCAUUUUCCGGUCUUAUUUCCCUAGCUGUUCGUGAAUCCGCGGAGAUGGGAACCAAACUCUUACGCCGAGAAUCUCGAGUUUGCCAGGAUUUCAUGGAAAUCGGUCCGGACCUUUUAUGAAUGGUUUGGGACAUCGUGUGUCCGUGUAUGUAGCUCGACGGGAUGUAUGGAUUCGCCAGUUCGCUUGUCUCGAACUGGUCCCGCGAGACUACCAAUAGAGCGUACUUCCUGACUUCGGAGGAGUUGCACGUCUUCAUCUGC